GAUGAUCGUACAUUUAAUGAGGAGGCUGGGAACAAAAUGCCGGUUAGAAAAAAAGCUGAUUUCAAAGGAUUCUUUGAAGCGUCAACAAAUGAAACAGGUUUUGCCAGGGACACCAGGAAGAGUUCUCAAAAAGUUCGAUGACAACAAGUGGACCUUACACUUCAGCAUUGUUUGGUAACGUGGAUGUGCUGCUUGGUGCUGGAGGACCUUACACUGCAACAAAUUAUGGAUCGUUCAGAGAUCUGUUGAACAAAGCUUCGGCUGGACAUUACAAUUCAGUUUGAUUACCGCAUAAUCUUGACACUUUUUUAAUUUUUACUGAAAAUACU